UCAAAUACGAUAAGAGAGUUUGACUUUAGAGU
rnacentral:piRNA from 1 species